UAGUACACUCUCAAUAGCAGCAGCAGGAGAACAUUAUAGAAGAGUAAUGAGCAGUGUAAACUGUGAAUAAGAGGAAAUGAUCUACUGAGAAACAAAACUGCCCAGGAAGAGUAAGAGCCACCGCAACAUUUGUGCACAGCAAACCAAUAAACACAAGCAAAUCAAGAUGGCGCCCAUCCAAUGUCUGCCCUCCAUUAGUCGUCCUGACAAAAGCAGAACAGAGGGCUGGAGUCAAAACAUCUCAUCCCAAGGAGCUGUAUCAAAAUGAGGAAACUGUUGGAGUAGUGGUUUGGUCCAGACUGGAAGGUGGAAAUGUGGGGGUGGAAUGGAAAAAUCAAUACCAAGAAUUGCUCAAGGGCAAGGUAAUUUUUAUUCCAUCCAGCACCGAAGCAUCCAGAUUCCACUGAAACUUUAAACUCUUGCAUACU